CGGUUGAUCCUGCCGGAGGUCACCGCUAUUGGAAUCCGCUUAAGCCAUGCGAGUCGAGAGGGUUCGGCCCUCGGCACACUGCUCAGUAACACGUGGACAAUCUGCCCUCGGGAGGGGGAUAACCUCGAGAAAUUGAGAAUAAUACCCCAUAGGGCCUGUAUGCUGGAACGCUUCAGGUCUUAAAGCUGCGGCGCCCGAGGAUGAGUCUGCGGCUCAUCAGGUUGUAGUGAGUGUAAGGGACUCACUAGCCGACAACGAGUACGGGCCUUGGAAGAGGUCGCCCGGAGAUGGACUCUGAGACACGAGUCCAGGCCCUACGGGGCGCAGCAGGCGCGAAAACUUCGCAAUGUGGGAAACCACGACGAGGGGAUUCCAAGUGCUCAUGGCUUCCAUGGCUGUUUUCCUGCCUAAAAAGCAGGGAGAGUAAGGGCUGGGUAAGACGGGUGCCAGCCGCCGCGGUAAUACCCGCAGCUCGAGUGGUGAUCGUUGUUAUUGGGCCUAAAGCGUCCGUAGCCGGCUCAGUAAAUCCUUGGGUAAAUCGGGCAGCUUAACUGUCCGAAUUCCGGGGAGACUGCUGAGCUUGGAACUGGGAGAGGUCGGAGGUACUCCGGGGGUAGAGGUGAAAUUCUGUAAUCCCCGGGGGACCACCAGUGGCGAAGGCGUCCGACUUGAACGGGUUCGACGGUGAGGGACGAAGCCCUGGGGCACAAACCGGAUUAGAUACCCGGGUAGUCCAGGGUGUAAACGCUGCGGGCUUGGUGUUGGGGGUCCUACGUGGGCGUCCAGUGCCGGAGAGAAGUUGUUAAGCCCGCCGCCUGGGGAGUACGGUCGCAAGACUGAAACUUAAAGGAAUUGGCGGGGGAGCAC
rnacentral:rRNA from 1 species